UGGCCUGAAAUGAUGUUCUGAGUUCAUGUCUCUUCUCUGAGAAGUCUUAUGGAGACAACCAGAUGUAUUUCUGAUCAGGCUU
ensembl:snoRNA